UCAAUGAUUUUUUAAAUUGCUGUGGUAUUUUGACUAUACAAAGGUAUUGUAAUAAGGCUUUAAUUGAGUGCUAAAAGAAUGGACUUUCAAAAAAACUCUUUUUUAAAUUUAAAAAUUUAAAUUAUUUUUAUUUGUGAAGAAACAAUAAUUUAAAUUAAGGACAAGAAGACCCUAAGAAUUUUAGUAUUUCACAUAUAAAAUUAUWUWUGUAAAAUGCUUAAUUGGGGCGAUUCAAAAAAAUUAUAAACUUUUUUAUUAUAAAUAUGACCCAUUAUUAAUGAUAUUAUGAAACAAAUACUCUAGGGAUAACAGCGUAAUAAUUUUAGAUAGACCAUAUAGAUAAAAUAGUUUGCGACCUCGAUGUUGGAUUAGGAUUCUAAUUUAAUGCAGAAGUUAAAUUAAGAAGUUUGUUCAACUUUUAAAAUCCUACUUGAUCUGAGUUCA
rnacentral:rRNA from 1 species